AAGGGCGCAGGGCGGAUGCCUUGGCACUAAGAGCCGAUGAAGGACGCGAUAAGCUGCGAUAAGCUUCGGGGAGUUGCACGUAAACUUUGAUCCGAAGAUUUCCGAAUGAGGAAACUCACUUAGAGUAAUGUCUAAGUAUCAUUAAGUGAAU
rnacentral:rRNA from 1 species